rnacentral:ncRNA from 1 species
GGGGAGCUUCGGCGCCCUUAACCUCGGGUCGCAAGACCUGGAUAGCAAGCGGAAGACAGUAA